GAUGAACGCUGGCGGCGUGCCUAAUACAUGCAAGUCGAGCGAACAGACGAGGAGCUUGCUCCUCUGACGUUAGCGGCGGACGGGUGAGUAACACGUGGAUAACCUACCUAUAAGACUGGGAUAACUUCGGGAAACCGUAGCUAAUACCGGAUAAUAUAUUGAACCGCAUGGUUCAAUAGUGAAAGACGGUUUUGCUGUCACUGAUAGAUGGAUCCGCGCUGCAUUAGCUAGUUGGUAAGGUAACGGCUUACCAAGGCAACGAUGCGUAGCCGACCUGAGAGGGUGAUCGGCCACACUGGAACUGAGACACGGUCCAGACUCCUACGGGAGGCAGCAGUAGGGAAUCUUCCGCAAUGGGCGAAAGCCUGACGGAGCAACGCCGCGUGAGUGAUGAAGGUCUUCGGAUCGUAAAACUCUGUUAUUAGGGAAGAACAAAUGUGUAAGUAACUAUGCACGUCUUGACGGUACCUAAUCAGAAAGCCACGGCUAACUACGUG
rnacentral:rRNA from 1 species